GUGUUCAUACAUGGUGAGGUAUCCUCAGAACUAUGUGUGAUGGUACCCCUCUGGAGGCUGAGAUAGAAAGUUCCUUAAUGAUGGAGACUAACAAUCUUUAGCAGCAAAGGAAGAGACUGGGCGUUUUAUACAUAUAUGGUCAUGAUUUGGAGACUUGUGAGGAAGGCCAAAGUGGAUUGGCUGUGGUCUCGGUGUAGCACGAUGGAAUCUGGUGGCUUAAACCUAGCUGUCCACAUUUCACUAUCUGAAGAGCAGAAAAUGUGUUAAUAGGAGCCUGGUGAGUGGAGGAGACUGAAGAUGGAGAGAGAGCCUGGACCUCAACAUGAGCAUCUGGAGCCAUUUGGCAGCAUUAGGCUGUGACCGCUUAGAGAACCGAAAGGUGCAGAGCUUUAAAGGAUUAUGGAGUCUGAAGACCAAAUGGGAUGAUGGAGAACAGCUAUUCAGUGGUACAAAUGUAAAUGCUCCCAGGCCCGGGCAGAAAAGAGAAAACAUUUCCAUGGAAGAGGAAACAGGAAAUUCCAACAGAUCAGCAACAGUUGGAGUGCUAACCUGUCACUGGAAUGGGAAAAAAAAUGCUGUCGUUGACACAUCUUUUCCUUGUUUUUGACACAAAUUAGAAUUGAGUUUGGUUUUGCCCAUCUGAAAUAUCUGUAAAGACUCUGAGGACAGAACAGAUACUUUGGAGUUUUCUUCAAACUUGCAUAGCUCAAGGGAAUCCCAUUCAGGAUGCCACAUUACAUUCAGUAUGUCUUCUUAGACUCCUAUGGGCUGUGACAGUAUCUCAGAAUUUCCUUGCUUUUGAAUAUAUUGAGUUUUGCAACAAACUUCACAUCCAUCAAAUUCUUAACAUGAACCAGGUUCUUUGCUUACAUUCGCAUAGGCAUAUCGGUCUGGUUUUACUUGUCAGGAGGGACUGAAGAAAGCACAGGACGUAAGUUCCUCCAAGAGCAUUCUUGGAGCAGCAUCUCAUCGCUGUCCUUGGGUGUAGCCUCCCUUUUGUGAGGUUCACUCCCUCAGCUGGAGGAUGAACCACAGUGCUGCUGCAGACCUAGCUGAUGUCACAGUUGUUCAAAAGGUUCCUCUUGAAGAAUGAAAUCCUUGGGCUGCCAUUAGGAACUGCA
rnacentral:lncRNA from 1 species